GACUUAUCCAGAAAGACUGAGGGAAUGGGCCCUAUGACGUCUUAGCAACCCGGACUGGCCGGGUGCUAAUUCCUACUCCAAUAAAGAUCGCAAGGUCUGGAGAUAGAUAAAGU
rnacentral:ncRNA from 2 species